CCUACGAGUGGCAGCAGUAGGGAAUAUUGCACAAUGGGGGAAACCCUGAUGCAGCGACGCCGCGUGGGUGAAGCAGUUUUUCGGUUUGUAAAGUCCUUUCAUCAGGGAAGAAAAUGACGGUAUCUAAGUAAUAAGCCCCGGCUAACUCCGUGCCAGCAGCCGCGGUAAUACGUAGGGUGCAAGCGUUAGCCGGAAUCACUGGGUGUAAAGAGAGCGUAGACGGCAUUGCAAGUCAGAAGUGAAAUGCGAGGGCUUAACCUUCGAACUGCUCUGGAAACUGGUAGGCUAGAGUGCGGGAGAGGUAGGUGGAAUUCUUAGUGUAGAGGUGAAAGGCGUAGAGAUCAGGAGGAAGACCAGUGGCGAAGGCGGCCUACUGGAACAUAACUGACGUUGAGGCGCGAAAGCGUGGGGAGCAAACAGGAUUAGAUACCCGAGUAGUC
rnacentral:rRNA from 1 species